rnacentral:rRNA from 1 species
AUACGUAGGUGGCGAGCGUUAUCCGGAAUUACUGGGUGUAAAGGGUGUGUAGGCGGGAAGGCAAGUCGGAUGUGAAAAUUAUGGGCUCAAACCAUAAAGUGCGACCGAAACUGUUUUUCUUGAGGAUCGGAGAGGUAAUGAGAAUUCCCGGUGUAGCGGUGAAAUGCGCAGAGAUCGGGAGGAAUACCGGUGGCGAAGGCGAAUUACUGGACGAUAACUGACGCUGAGACACGAAAGCGUGGGGAGCAAACAGGAUUAGAUACCCUGGUAGUCCACGCCCUAAACGAUGAAUGCUAGGUGUAGGGGGUAUCGACUCCCUCUGUGCCGCAGUUAACACAAUAAGUAUUCCGCCUGGGGAGUACGGCCGCAAGGUUGAAACUCAAAUGAAUUGGCGGGG